rnacentral:rRNA from 1 species
UGGGGAAUUUUGGACAAUGGACGCAAGUCUGAUCCAGCCAUUCCGCGUGCAGGAUGAAGGCCCUCGGGUUGUAAACUGCUUUUGUACGGAACGAAAAGGUUUCUAUUAAUACUAGGAGCUCAUGACGGUACCGUAAGAAUAAGCACCGGCUAACUACGUG